CCUACGGGAGGCAGCAGUAGGGAAUAUUGCUCAAUGGGGGAAACCCUGAAGCAGCCACGCCGCGUGGAGGAUGAAGGUUCUCGGAUUGUAAACUCCUUUUGUUAGAGAAGAUAAUGACGGUAUCUAAAGAAUAAGCACCGUCUAACUUCGUGCCAGCCGCCGCGGUAAUACGGAGGUUGCAAGCGUUACUCGGAGUCACUGGGCGUAAAGCGCGUGUAGGCGGGCUAGAAAGUCAGAUGUGAAAUCCUAUGGCUUAACCAUAGAACUGCAUUUGAUACUGUGAGUAUAGAGUAUGGGAGAGGGAGGUGGAAUUCGUGGUGUAGGGGUAAAAUGCGUAGAUAUCAAGAAGAAUACUGAUUGCGAAGGCGGCCUACUAGA
rnacentral:rRNA from 1 species